UAUAAUCAUUACACAAUCUUUUAGUCAAAAAGUUGCCAGAAAUAUUUUGAAUAUUAGAACAACAAUCGAUUGUCUAAAGUUAACAAUCGAUUGUCAUUUUUUUAAAAUUCAAUAGAAAUCUUUUUAACCGGUUUUUAAGGAUCUUGUCUGUUGAAAAAGUGUUCCAACAAUCGAUUGUCGAAAAUCAACAAUCGAUUGUCAGGCAGAUUUUCAGGAGCGUUUUCUGGAACUA
rnacentral:lncRNA from 1 species